GGAGUCUGGGCCGUGUCUCAGUCCCAAUGUGGCCGUUCAUCCUCUCAGACCGGCUACUGAUCGUCGCCUUGGUAGGCUUUUACCCUGCCAACAAGCUAAUCAGACGCGGGCCCAUCCUGUACCACCGGAGUUUUUCACACCAGGAGAUGCCUCCUCGUAUGCUUAUGCGGUAUUAGCAGUCAUUUCUGACUGUUAUCCCCCUGUACAGGGCAGGUUACCCACGCGUUACUCACCCGUCCGCCACUCAGUCACAAGACCCGAAGGUCAAGUGCUUCGUUCGACUUGCAUGUGUUAAGCACGCCGCCAGCGUUCAUC
rnacentral:rRNA from 1 species